UUGAACGCUGGCGGCAGGCCUCACACCUGCAAGUCGAGCGGAUGAAGGGAGCUUGCUCCUGGAUUCAGCGGCGGACGGGUGAGUAAUGCCUAGGAAUCUGCCUGGUAGUGGGGAUAACGUCCGGAAACGGGCGCUAAUACCGCAUACGUCCUGAGGGAGAAAGUGGGGGAUCUUCGGACCUCACGCUAUCAGAUGAGCCUAGGUCGGAUUAGCUAGUUGGUGGGGUAAAGGCCUACCAAGGCGACGAUCCGUAACUGGUCUGAGAGGAUGAUCAGUCACACUGGAACUGAGACACGGUCCAGACUCCUACGGGAGGCAGCAGUGGGGAAUAUUGGACAAUGGGCGAAAGCCUGAUCCAGCCAUGCCGCGUGUGUGAAGAAGGUCUUCGGAUUGUAAAGCACUUUAAGUUGGGAGGAAGGGCAGUAAGUUAAUACCUUGCUGUUUUGACGUUACCAACAGAAUAAGCACCGGCUAACUUCGUG
rnacentral:rRNA from 1 species